AUUGAACGCUGGCGGCAGGCUUAACACAUGCAAGUCGAGCGGGGGAGGUUGCUUCGGUAACUGACCUAGCGGCGGACGGGUGAGUAAUGCUUAGGAAUCUGCCUAUUAGUGGGGGACAACAUUCCGAAAGGGAUGCUAAUACCGCAUACGCCCUACGGGGGAAGGCAGGGGAUCUUCGGACCUUGCGCUAAUAGAUGAGCCUAAGUCGGAUUAGCUAGUUGGUGGGGUAAAGGCCUACCAAGGCGACGAUCUGUAGCGGGUCUGAGAGGAUGGGCCGCCACACUGGGACUAAGACACGGCCCAGAGUCCUACGGGAGGCAGCAGUGGGGAAGAUUGGACAAUGGGCGGAAGCCUGAUCCAGCCAUGCCGCGUGUGUGAAGAAGGCCUUUUGGUUGUAAAGCACUUUAAGCGAGGAGGAGGCUCUUAAGGUUAAUACCCUUGAUGAGUGGACGUUACUCGCAGAAUAAGCACCGGCUAACUCUGUGCCAGCCGCCGCAGUAAGAC
rnacentral:rRNA from 1 species